AAGUCGUAACAAGGUUUCCGUAGGUGAACCUGCGGAAGGAUCAUUACACACAGUAGUUUUCUACUGCUUGAGGGAGCUGAAAGUUAUUUCAACGAGUAGGUUGCCUGUUUGUACCCUUGUCUUUUGCGCACCCUUUGUUUCCUCGGUGGGCUUGCCCACCGGUUGGACAACUAUAAACUCUUUUUAGUUGCAAUCAGCGUCUAAAUCAAUUUAAUAAUUACAACUUUCAACAACGGAUCUCUUGGUUCUG
rnacentral:misc_RNA from 1 species